rnacentral:rRNA from 1 species
UACGUAGGGUGCGAGCGUUGUCCGGAAUUAUUGGGCGUAAAGGGCUCGUAGGCGGUUUGUCGCGUCGGGAGUGAAAACAUCGGGCUUAACUCAAUGCUUGCUUUCGAUACGGGCAGACUUGAGGUAUGCAGGGGAGAAUGGAAUUCCUGGUGUAGCGGUGAAAUGCGCAGAUAUCAGGAGGAACACCGGUGGCGAAGGCGGUUCUCUGGGCAUUACCUGACGCUGAGGAGCGAAAGUGUGGGGAGCGAACAGG